CCCCCAGGUGCCACUGAUUGGAUGCGGGUCAGGGUGACGCUACAUAAAACAGAACACAAAGCUAUCAGGCGGCCUCUAAGGACACGUUUGUGGGUUUCCCAAAGCGUCGCAGGGUUGAUUCUUGUUUGUAGGCUGUAUUGGGGUUUGCCGGUGGAUGUGUCCUGUAAAGGAUUUAUAUAUGAUAUUCAUCUCGCCCCCGAUGAGCAACAGGCCCUCCGUGAAUGUCUUCAA